UCAACGGAGAGUUUGAUCCUGGCUCAGGAUGAACGCUGGCGGCGUGCUUAACACAUGCAAGUCGAACGAUG
rnacentral:ncRNA from 1 species